UCGAAAAUGGUGAUUUUGGGACCACGAAUUCGACAAGUGAGCUUGUAAAUAUUAUUAAUUUAAUGUUUAUGAGUCAAUUAUAAUAUUAUUGAAAUUUUGAUUUAAUAAAUUUCGUUAAUUGAUCGUAUAGUUAAGUUAAGUGGUUCAUUCCUUAAUUCAAGUGGUUUUGGAAAAUGAAGUAUUGAAACCUCCUUUCUAUAAACCGAACCCGUAAAUAUUUUUAUUAAAUAUUUACAGAGUUAUUAUAUAGGCAUGUGAAUAUUCAGUUAGGAAAUUUAAUUUUUAAUUAGUUAAUUAAUUAAAAAGGACUAAAUCGUAAAAGUCAAAAAAUCUAAUCACUAUUGAAUUUUAAUGGUUAAAUAGCUUAACUAGUGGAUUUGUGAGGACUUAUGAAAUAAUUAUACUAUGUUUUGAUAUUAGUGGACGGUUAAGACAUUUAUUUAUGCAUUAUAUAUGUUAUAUUAUAAGUUAAAUAAUAAUAAAGUAAAUAAAAUAAGUAAAGUUUAAAAAAAAAGAAAAAGAAAACAUAAAAAAUUAGUGUCAUAUUCUUCUUCUUUUAAUUUGAACAUCGAACCAUCAUGGGAGAACUUGGGAAGCUUCGGCUUUGAUAUUUCCAUUGCAUGAAAGUGAGUUUUUCACUCGUUUUUCGUAAAUUUUAUAUUUUUGAGACCGUUGCAGCUAGGUACAGCUAACAUGUAUCUCUGUUUUUAAAACUGUUAAAGAUUUUGGAUUUUUCCAUUAAUUAAUUUUAGUUGUGUUGAGAAUUUAAUUGAUGUGUUCUUGAGUUUUACAGCUAGAUAUAAGUAUUUUGUUAAGUGAUUUUUAGUAAUUUCAAUGUUUAGGGAUUAAAUUGUUUAAAUAGUAAAAUUCAAUGAAAAUGGUGUGAAAUGAUAAGAAAUAUGGGCUGUAAUGGACCCCUAGGAAAAUUGGCUAGCAUAGUUUUUCAUUAAGUGUGGUUAAUUUGUGAUUUAUGAAUUUGAGUAUUUUAUGAUAUUUGAAUUGGUUAAUUGAAUAAAUUUAUUAUAUUUAGAUCAAGAAACGAGCUAACCUGGCAUUAAUUGUGGGAAAGGAAAGUUAAAGGAGAAAUCGUCGGUGUUGUGUUUGUAACUAUUUUCAAUUAGGUAAGUUUGUAAAUUGAUUAAAUUAAUUAUUUGUUAUUUUUGUGACUUAAUAUAUAUAUUUAUGUUGUUAUUCAAUUUAACUACUUGAGAUUGAUAUGUGAUGAGUUGGACUAAGUUAUGAUGAUAUUUAAGUUGAGUACUGUGUUUGGAAAAUGUCAAAUACACGGAUGUGAGUUUGAAAUGGUAUAAUGGAAACGAAGUUAAAUGACUAGGAUAUAAAAUGUGUCACAUUUGAACCUUGUGAGUACUUAUGAUACAAAUGACAUGUCAUUAGGAGGUUAUUUCCAGUUUCGGGUGCUGGUCUUGGAUGUCCUACCGAUGGCUGAGGUAUUGCACUUGUUAUGGAUUCUCCACAAUUCGUGUGAGCAGCACCGUGUAGCUUAAUAUCCUGACCCAUAGCUUGUGUGAGCAGACCCAUUUCACAGCUCAUGUGAGCAUACAGUAUUACAUGUUACAGUCACAGCUUGCGUGAGCAGUUCCCGAGUAUCCGAUGUUAUUUCAUUUGGUUCAACAGGUAGUAAAAUUUUAAACUAAUAUGUACAUAUAUAAAAAUGUUAUAUGGUCAAGACAUGUGAAUGGAAGAUGCUGAUAUAAAUACUUGGAAUGGGAAGCUAUGUUUAUCGAACACAUGAUAGAUGUAAUAUGUACUGGUUAUGUUAUUAUUACAUGUUCCAUUAUUGUUGGAAUUAUAUGUUUCUUUGUGAUACCUAUUAACCUUGUAAGGUUGUGUUGUAUAGAAAAGAAAUGUAAGUAUAAGAUUUAAUGAAUGAAUAUGUGUUAUAUGCUAAAUAAAUAUGUGAUGGUUGGCUAUGUACUAAAUAAGUUUUUUGGUAUAUGUUUGAUGGCAUGAUAAAGUUACAUGUUUUAUAUAUGAACUCACUAAUCUUGUGAGACUUGUGAUGUGUCUAGGAAAUUAACAAACUCAUGACCAGGACAUAGAGUUAUCUUGUAAAAUGUUUUAUUACAUCGUUUUUGGUAAGUCAAAGUUUAAGUUUAUUACGAACUUACAAAGCUUUACGUAAGCUUACCUCGUUUUGGUUUUUCUUCUUUGUAGAUUGUUGGAGUUGAGCUGUCAAUUGGAUUACUUUUGGAGAUCAUGCUAUUUGUUCAAUGAUUCAGUAUAAGAUGUGAUUAUUUUUUAUUUAGUUUAUAAGUGGCAUGUUCUAGGAGUAUAUAAGUUUUUUUGCUAUAAUGAUGUAACCUUAGUUUAAGCAUAUAUGUAUAUAUAUAUUUGAUUUAGCUUGUAUAUGUCCAUAUUUGUAUAUCUUUAGUUGUUGUGUAUAUCCUUCUUGGAUGUGUUUGAAAUAUGGUAAGAUUGAAUAUGAAUGGAAUGGUUGAAUUGGUACAAAUGUUUAGGUAACUUAAUAAAUCUUGGUUGAUAAUUUUGGUCAUAAUAAAUGAGGCAAAUUUGAUAGUUGAAGAAGUAUGAAAUGCUAAGUAGUUGUACUUGAAUGGAUUAUGUUUCAAUGUUUGAAUUGUGGUGCCAAGUGAUGGCAUAUUGCUUAGGCAUUUAAGAUGAAUGAUUUUGGCAUGUUUUAGGUAUGUUUGAAUGUGUUUUAACCAUGUGAAAGUGAUUGAAAAGGGUUUGGUUUGGUGACCAAGAAAUGGAUAUUGAAUUGCUUAUAUUAGAGGUCAUUUUGGGUGCACAUGACCUUGGACACAGGCUGCCACACGGCUGUGUGCCACACAUGACCACCUUAUAUGGCCAUGUGUCUUAUUAAUUUUAGGUGCAGGAUUUUUCACACGGUUACAGUCAAUUACACGAUCUGAGCACACGGGCGUGUGGAGUAGCCACACGGGUUGGCC
rnacentral:lncRNA from 1 species